ACUGGUAUGUGUGGGGCUCCAGCCACUUAGUUGGAAUUCACCAUGAACUGCAUCUCGAGGAUCAAGUUUAGGCUCCCCAGUCCAUUGUGACAUCCAGCAAAGUGGAGCCGGGCGCCCCCAGCAUCCCGUCUGUCUGACGCUAAAUGGCGAGGCUCUCCAACCCACUUAGCUCCAAGCUCAACCUUCUGCAAAAGUUCAACCUUCUGCACCACUGGGGAUAUCGUGCAGCUCAGAGAUGGGGUUUCGUCAUGUUGCCCAGGCUGAUGUAGAACUCCUGGCCUCAAGCAAUCCACCUGCUUUGGCCUCCCAAAGUGCUGGGAUUACAGACGUGAGCCACCAUGCCCUGCUGGUUUAACGUUAUAUUGAAGUUUCUCCAACUGAAGGGCAUGUACUGUUGAGCAUGCUCAGAAGCCAAGGUUCAAGCCAUUCUUCAACUAUAGAUGCUUCAACUCAUCUCUCUUUCUUCGGAAUAUUCUCUCCCUUAUCAAUUUCACCAAUUAUACCAAGUAACCCCCUGCUUAUUCCCCUAGAACAGACAGAGCUGAUACUAGUCUGUGCCUUAUGUGAUUUAGAAAAAGACUCUUGGAAUGCAGCCCCAGACCAUGAUGUACAGAGCAUGAGUUGGGUAUUGCCCCAUUUUAUUCUCUAAUUCAGGUGCCCUUGUGCAGUGAAUAACAUGGCAGCUGUGAGACUAGUGAUGCUAAACAGGUUUAAUUUUUGGUGCAAAUUCUAAUGAAUUAAUAAUAGCUGUUUUAAAAAAACACACAGUGCUAAGAAAGACUCUGAGGCUGUUUUCAGGCUCAGUAGAUAAAUUGUACUGUAAGCUGGGAUGAUUUGCCUUGGUUGGGAGAAUGGCACCAGGUGUGACAAGAAUUUGCUAUCUAAGGACUAGAGGCAUCUCACCCGUCCUGAAGAGGUAGGAAGCCUGGGGUAGGCAGAUGUUGAGGUAGAAUGUGGGCCCAGACAAGUUUUAUAAUUUAUAGAACACAACUUUAAAAUGCCCUUGUAAUACAAGGCAACAAUCCUACUUUUCCAGGUCUCUAACAAAAAGCAUCUAGCUGAGCUAGAGUGUUUUCAUGAGGCAUCUGCUACACAAAACAAUGUCUUGCUUAAUAAAUAACACCCGUUUCUACUUGGUGUCAUUUUACUGUUUAAUCAAAACUUAUUUUCACCACUCUUAACCACAAUCUAAAGAAGGAUGCUUCAAUCUCUUCCUGAUUUAGCCUUAAACUUGGUCAUGUGUACCAUUCGACUAGGAUUGCCAGAGUCAGCCACCCUCCCAACAAAGGAUGCUCAGUUAAAUAUUGCACAGAACACACUUAUACUAAAAAUUGUUUGUUGUUUAUCUGAAAUUCAAAUUUAAUGGGGCAUAAUGUAUUUUACUUGGCAAUCCUACCUGUGAUGGACAUAUAUAUUUCCCCCCAGCUUUAUUAAGGUAUAAUUGACAAAUAAAAGUGUAAAUAUUUAUGAUAUAAAUGGAAAUAUAAACAGAUGCUCCUCGACUUUUGAUGGGGUUACAUCCUGAUAAACCUGUCAUAAGUUAAAAAUAUUGUGAGUUGAAAAUUCAUGUAAUACACCUAACUUACUGAAUAUCCUAGCUUGGCCUAGCCAACCUUAAAUGUGCCCAGAACACUUACAUCAGCAUAUUUGGGCUGAUGUAACACAAACCCUAUUUUAUCAUAAACUGUUUAAUAUCUCAUGUAAUUUAUUGAAUACUGUAUUGAAAAUGAAAGAUAAAAUGGUUGUAUGGGUACUCAAAGUAC
ensembl:lncRNA PLS3-AS1 PLS3 antisense RNA 1